AAGAUUCGACCUUCGGGUCUAUCUUCUCUUCAGCUGUGCGCUUCGGCUGCACGCUGUUGAACUUCACACACCUGUGCACACUUCGGUUGUGGCUAGUUAACUCUGGUCACUACCGCUUUUACAUUUAACAACCAAGUCUAGAAUGCCAAUUACAAUAAAAAUAA
rnacentral:misc_RNA from 1 species